UACGAAGGGGGCUAGCGUUGCUCGGAAUCACUGGGCGUAAAGCGCACGUAGGCGGAUCUGCAAGUCGGGGGUGAAAUCCCGAGGCUCAACCUCGGAACUGCCUUCGAUACUGCGGGUCUCGAGUCCGGGAGAGGUGAGUGGAAUUCCUAGUGUAGAGGUGAAAUUCGUAGAUAUCGUGAGGAAGACCAGUGGCGAAGGCGGAUCUCUGGACAGUUCCUGACGCUGAGGCGCGAAGGCCAGGGGGAGCAAACGGG
rnacentral:rRNA from 1 species